UCGGAUAUGGUGUAACGGCUAACAUUGCCGCCUUUCACAGAAUACGCGGCAGCUCGGGGUUCGAUUCCCCGUAUCCGAA